rnacentral:rRNA from 1 species
AGCGAACGCUGGCGGCAGGCCUAACACAUGCAAGUCGAACGGGCCCUUCGGGGUUAGUGGCGGACGGGUGAGUAACACGUGGGAACGUGCCUUUAGGUUCGGAAUAGCUUCUGGAAACGGGUGGUAAUGCCGAAUGUGUCCUUCGGGGGUAAGAUCUAUCGUCUUUAGGGCGGCCCGCGUCUGAUUAGCAAGUUGGUGAGGUAACGGCCGACCAAGGAGACGAUCAGUAGCUAGCCUGAGAGGAUGACCAUCCACACUGGGACUGAGACACGGCCCCGACUCCUACGGAAGGCAGCAGUGAGGAAUCUUGCGCAAGGGGCGAAAGCCUGACGCAGCCAUGCCGCGUGAAUGAUGAAGGUCUUAGUAUUGUAAAGUUCUAUAACCGGGGACAAUAAUGACGGUACCCGGAGAAGAAGCCCCGGCUAACUUCGUG